GAUUAGAGUGUGCUAGCUUGCUAGAAUUUAGAUACAGGUGCUGCACGGCUGUCGUCAGCUCGUGUCGUGAGAUGUUGGGUUAAGUCCCGCAACGAGCGCAACCUCGUGUUUAGUUGCUAACAGUUCGGCUGAGAACUCUAAACAGACUGCCUACGCAAGUAGGAGGAAGGUGAGGACGACGUCAAGUCAUCAUGGCCCUUACGGCCAGGGCUACACACGUGCUACAAUGGGGUAUACAAAGAGCAGCGAUACGGUGACGUGGAGCAAAUCUAGAAAAUGCCUCUCAGUUCGGAUUGUAGUCUGCAACUCGACUACAUGAAGUUGGAAUCGCUAGUAAUCGUAGAUCAGCAAUGCUACGGUGAAUACGUUCCCGGGUCUU
rnacentral:rRNA from 1 species